rnacentral:rRNA from 1 species
CCUACGGGUGGCAGCAGUGAGGAAUAUUGGUCAAUGGGCGAGAGCCUGAACCAGCCAAGCAGCGUGAAUGAUGACUGCCCUACGGGUUGUAAACUUCUUUUAUAAAGGAAUAAAGUGAGGUACGUGUGCCUUUAUGCAUGUACAUUAUGAUUCAGGAACGGCUAAUACCGUGCCAGCAGCCGCGGUAAUACGGAGGAUCCGAGCGUUAUCCGGGUUUAUUGGGUUUAAAGGGAGCGUAGAUGGGUUGUUAAGUCAGUUGUGAAAGUUGGGGGCUCAACCGUAAAAUUGCAAUUGAAACUGGCAGUCUUGAGUGCGGUAGAGGUAGGCGGAAUUCGUGGUGGAGCGGUGAAAUGCUUAGAUAUCACGAAGAACUCCGAUUGCGAAGGCAGCUUGCUAGACUGACACUGACGUUGAUGCUCGAAAGUGUGGGUAUCAAACAGGAUUAGAUACCCUAGUAGUC